CAAAUGCCUGGCAGCGUCCUCGGUGCUUCACCUGCCAUAGCCGACAGUGGCUGACCUCCCAUGCCUGUUGCCUUUUCUUUCUGUUGGAUCAGGGAUACACUGCCAUGUGUGUUAAGAAAAGCUGGCCUUACCUACAGGGCUGGCCAGUCCCGGUCACGUUUCUAGUAAGCCAUUGCCUUACAUAAGGGUAACGGCAUGGGACGCUAUCUUAGCCAAUGUGAUAAAAGUGGACAUGAGGUGAGAGGCUUCAGAGAGAGGUUUUAAAAAAGAGACAAAAGCAGGACGUUGCCUCUCUUCCUCCUCUCCACGUGUCCUACCCGGAUGUGAAGCCAAAACAGAUGCAGGCUUAGUGCAACCAUGGGGAACCCAGCAUAAGCACAGAUUCAACAGCAGAAGAGUGGCAGAGGGAGAAGGUGAAAGGAACCUAGGUUUUCCUGUCCUUGUUGAGUCAUUCAGUUAAAAAUCCCUGGAAUUUUCCUCUCUCCGGCAGUGUGUUUUGUGGGAUAAUGAGUUGCCUUAUUGGGGUUGGCUUGCUAGUCGGGAUGUUUCGCUCCCAUCAACAUCCAUACGCUUGCUCUGUGAACCAAUGACCUGAUGAGGUAGUAUUAGCACCACCAUCAUUAUGCUGAGGAUGAGAUUUAUGGCACAGUGGUUCAGUAGCUUGCCCAAGGCCAUGCGGCUGGUAGGUUCUGGAGGAGGGCUCAGGGCACCCCCUGAGCUACCCCUGCUGGCCAUUGCACCACCCCAUAAAGCUGCUGGCAGUCACUUCUCUGAGGGGUUAGCAUGUAAGAAAUGUCCUCCUGAAUGCUGGCCAGACAAAUGGAAAUCUGCCAGGGUUGGGUACCCCCAUGACAGCAGCCAGCCUGCCCUCUUAGUCCCUGACAGCUGCAGUGACAGCAUCUGUGAUUGCAAAGCGUGACAAUUUAUAUCUCUCAUUUCAUCACACCAUCUAUCAGCAGACAGUCAGGCUUUAAAAAUCAAUCCCACACUGACUCAGUCCCCAGCAGAGAUGGCCUCUGACAACAGUAUCCACACUGCAGGCUGGACAAGGGCCCUAUUAAUUUUGAGACUCAGCCAAAUUUCCUUCUGACCCUAAGCUGGUGAAUCCCUGCUCCUUUGCUUUGGUUGGGGUUGGUGUGAGCUAAGGCUGUGAUCCCAUUUGCUCCUAUGGCCUCCAGGUGGCCUGGGCCUCCAUGAAUGGGCCACAUGGUCAUACUGAAUGCUUGAUUACACUCAGACCUAGCAGUCGUCUGGGCGCAGCUGGUUUAUGGAUCACUUUGUCACAAUGUUCCAUCCUUCCAGGUCCCCAUCCCCGCGGUGGGAAAACAUUGCUUUAGGCAGUGCUAGAGGACUUCAGCAGGCAUUGGCAGCUUCUGGAUUCAGGAUUAGAACAAAGAAGGAGGAGUCACAGCAAAGAUAGGAACAGAAGGCAGAGAGAACAGACAGAUGGGGGUGUUUGAGAAGGAGGGCCUUUGAGACCUCAGGGAGUGGGAGACACUGGCUCGAGAAUAAUAAUAAUGGCAAUUUCUCUCAUCUGUGUUUUCAGGGCAUGGACUGGAACUCCCAAUACCCCUGACAUGGGCUGAGUCAACGUGGUCAUGAACAUGUGACAGGAGGCAGCAGAAGUUGCAGAGAAGAGUGAGGCACGUUUGAAAAAGGCUGAAAAAUGUUUCUGUCCAGGCAAGGGUGUGUGCUGAAUGACUCAAGGAUUUUUUGGUGCAUUGAAUGAACAGCGGGACAUUGGACACCUGCUGAUCCAUCACCCCGGGCCCGGGCAGGCCCGUGGAUGAAGAGAGAUGGAGAAGACCAGGCAUGAGACUGUGGAGAAGCCACACCACCAGAAACCCCUGCCCCAUGCGCCGUCCAGCCCACACCUGUGGAUGCACGGGGGAUUGCAGGCAGGGCUCCCACCGUGGACUCAGGAACAGGCAGGGAAGCUGCUGCCUCACCAGGCGAAGGGGCCAGGAGGGGGAGGCGGAGAGGCCCGUCUAGCCCCUGCGGCUGUCACCGUGGUGCCUCCUCACUGGCCAGUGCGGUCGCGCCUCAGCUUCGUUAAUAGGGGAGGGGGCCUAAGAGUUUUCACGUCCAGGCUCGGGCAGUGGGGAGGCAGGCAGGAGUGGCCGCUGGUUUUUCAGACCUCCCAGGGAGGCCGAGGAAAUGGCCCGUCCUGGAGUGGGCGUGGUUCUGUCUUCAGAUGGAUGCUGGAGGGUUGGGCUGCGUGGGACCCUGGGCCCUGCUGCUUCCCGGAGGAUGCGCUGUCCGGGGCUGCACAGGUUGGCUGUGUUUUUUGGAUGCUUGAUAUUUUGUUUUUUCUUCUCUUCACUCUGUCAUGAAACUGGCAAUAGUAGUUUGUAAAUAAAUAUGUGUUAUAGAUGAAUAUUUGCUAUGAGUAAAUUAAUAAAGGAGUGAAUAAAUGAGCGAUUGAUGUAGGGCCUGUCCUGUCUCAGGGAGCCCCACGAAGGCCUGCGCGCCGGCCAGAGCCUGCCUGCCUGCCAGGGUACUGGGACGUCACUCUCAAAGCGGCGGGACCCAGCCGCUGAUCUUGCUGAGGAGGCCCGGUCUCAGAAAACUGAGCGGCUGCUUCUGCAGACCCUGCAUCCUCCCCUCCCUGGAGAAAGAAGCUCUGGCUGAGUCCUGGGACCGAACCCUUGGGUGCCACAGAAACGGGCUUUGCUGCCUGUCAGUCAAGCGGCGGGAGAAACAGACCUGGGGAGGAGGAGGCUGGGAGGGCUGUGUUUUCUGCACAGCGAGUAGCUCCUUAGCCUGGUGCCAUUUCUCUCCAAACACCCUGAAGGUUGAGUCCAGGGUGAAGAUGUAGAGGCAAGUUUUGGGGGGAUGGAGUGGGCUUGGAGGGAUGCUGGCGCCUUAGCAGGCUGUGCUCCUGAGGUGCCCAGUGUCUGCGGGCACAGGAACAUGUUGCCGAGGGCAUUUGGGUGUGGGUGGGGUGGGGAAAGGGAGACAGGGCUGUCUCUUUUAAUGGGUAUCUGCGAGCAUGUGAUUGUAAGAGAGGAAGAAGUAGGGGAGGAAGAAGGCCUCCUUGGGAGGUGCGUCAUCCUGAGGAAGGCUGAACAAUGAGGGUCUUGGAGAGUCAAUUCAGAAGCACAACCUUGCAGAGCAGGCAAAAACAAUAGGGCUUCUUGAGGCUGCCCGGGCACUCAUGCAAUCACCAUUUCCUGCUGUGAAUGAGCCUACAUUUUGUUGGGGAAGAGACGCAACGACGCCAAACGAUGGACUCUGAGUCAACGAUAAGAUGAAACAAAAUUAAAACAAAGUAGGAAAUCAAGAGUGGCUGCUGUGAUGGCGUUGCGGAGAUGAUGUUUGCUUUGAGAACUGGACAAGUGAGCCCCUGAGCUGCAUCUGCACCCAGAGGCUGAGCCGGUGCACAGGACUUGCAGAGGGAUGGGCCUGGGCUUGUAGAGCAGCACAACGGCCCCAGGCCUGGAGGAGCAAGGGUGGGAAGGGGGGCAGGCCAGCUCCUGCCAGGCUGGAGAAGGACUCGGACCUCAGGCCACCUGUGCCUGGGUGAUUGUGAACUUGUAACAAAUGUGAUCUUAUUUAUGUUUUGAAAAAGGCAACACAAACCAACACGAGCCGUGUGAGGAUCAGGUGACAGCUGCCCAAAAGCUGACACAAGGAACAAGCCUGGAGGAGUGAGGAUGGGUGCUGUGAAGGAGGUUGUGCAGCUGGGCCCGCAGUCGGACCUGGUGAGAUCAGAGGAGGGGGUGCCACCAGUCUGUGGACGAAGAUGAGAAGCUGGAAUAGAGCAGAAAACAGGAGGCUGCCACUCUCCAUCUUUCCCAAAGUCACUCCAGGAGCAAGGGUGUCAUUUACUGAAAUGACAGACUCUCCAUUUCACAUUUUUCCCCCAAGUGCAGAGUGCAGGGAAGCAGAUGGGCUAAAUUUUUAGAGUCAGGGUUAUUAAUGUAUACUUUACAUAGUAAACUUUCCCCUUUUAAGUGUGCAGGCCUGAGGUUUGCCAAAUAUGUGUAGGCAUUUAAUCACCACCACGAUCAAGAUGUAGAAUAUUCCCACUAUCAAAAAGUUUGCUGUGUCCCUUGAUGGUCAUGCCCCAUUCCACAGCCCCAGCCCCAGCCCCUGGAGAUUGCUGUCUGCUUUAUGUUCCAGUGGUUUUAUCUUUUCCAGACUGUAUGGAUGUGAAUGGAAUCAGAUGUGAUUCCAAGGUGUUUUAUCUUUUCCAGAUGUGAAUGGAAUCAGAUGUACGAAAUCCUAUGGUAGGGGGUCUUCUGAGUCUAGCUCCUUUUGUUUAGCGUGAUGCAUUUGAAAUUAAUCCAUGUCUCAGGCAUCAGGAGUUCAUUUCUUUUUCUGCUGAGUAGUAUUUCAUUGUAUGGAUGUACUGCAAUUUGCCUAUCCAUUCACCUGUUGAUGU
rnacentral:lncRNA from 1 species